rnacentral:lncRNA from 1 species
UCUAUCUUCGCCUCUUCCUUCAAACACUACUAAAUCUGAGAAUGGUUUUAGAAAAACCGGUUUAAAUGGUUUGGUUUUUAUAUUGGGCUUUGGCUGGUUUAGGUCAUAUUGAGCUUAGGCAUUUUAAGUUUGGUUUGGUUUGGGUUUAAAAGAAAAGCAGUUUGGAUAUGGGUGGUUACGGGCCUAAACCGUUUGGUCUAUUUUAGACCACAAGCUGUGGGUGUAAC